rnacentral:rRNA from 1 species
UACGGAGGGAGCGAGCGUUGUUCGGAAUUACUGGGCGUAAAGCGUAUGUAGGCGGCUUCGUAAGACAGGUGUGAAAUCCCAGGGCUUAACCUUGGAACUGCAUUUGUGACUGCAAGGCUUGAGUAUCGGAGAGGUUGGCGGAAUUCCCAGUGUAGCAGUGAAAUGCGUAGAUAUGCGGAGGAACACCGAUGGCGAAGGCAAUCCCCUGGACCUGUACUGACGCUCAUGCACGAAAGCGUGGGGAGCAAACAGG